rnacentral:rRNA from 1 species
CCUACGGGAGGCAGCAGUAGGGAAUAUUGGUCAAUGGACGAAAGUCUGAACCAGCCAUGCCGCGUGAAGGAUGAAGGCCCUAUGGGUCGUAAACUUCUUUUAUUAGGGAAGAAACCUUAGGAUGCGUCCUAAGCUGACGGUACCUAAUGAAUAAGGAUCGGCUAACUUCGUGCCAGCAGCCGCGGUAAGACGAAGGAUCCAAGCGUUGUCCGGAUUUACUGGGUUUAAAGGGUGCGUAGGCGGAAAAUUAAGUCAGUGGUGAAAGCCCGCAGCUCAACUGUGGAACUGCCAUUGAAACUGAUUUUCUUGAAUAUAGUUGAGGCAGAUGGAAUAUAACAUGUAGCGGUGAAAUGCUUAGAUAUGUUAUAGAACACCGAUUGCGAAGGCAGUCUGCUAAGCUAUUAUUGACGCUGAGGCACGAAAGCGUGGGGAGCGAACAGGAUUAGAUACCCUGGUAGUCCACGCCCUAAACGUUGAUUACUCGCUGUUGGCGAUAUACUGUCAGUGNGUAGAGAAGAGUAAGUAAUACACCUGGAGACGACGCGAGUAGAACGACAAGAAGUAGAGCGAGAGNGCGAGACGACGACGAGGGAGGAGG